AAUCAACGCUGGCGGCGUGCCUCGGACAUGCAAGUCGAACGCGAAAGUCUCCUUCGGGGGAUAAGUAGAGUGGCGCACGGGUGAGUAACACGUAGGUAAUCUACCUUUGGAUGGGGAAUAACAACCGGAAACGGUUGCUAAUACCGCAUAAUGCAGCGGCACCUAAUGGUGACAGUUGUUAAAGCGGGGGAUCGUAAGACCUCGCGUCUGAAGAGGAGCCUGCGGCGGAUUAGCAGUUGGUAAGGUAAUGGCUUACCAAGGCUACGAUCCGUAACCGGCCUGAGAGGGCGGUCGGUCACACUGACACUGACAUACGGGUCAGACUCCUACGGGAGCAGCAGUCGGAAUUUGGGCAAUGGGCGAAAGCCUGACCCAGCAACGCCGCGUGAAGGAU
rnacentral:rRNA from 1 species